CUCUGUUUCUAGUGUUCACUUCCACCUUCCACCCUUUCACUAUGAAGGACCCUCACCAGAUGGUGGCACCAUGCUCUCGGACUUCCCAGCCUCCAGAACUGGACGGGUAAAUUGAAGCAAAAAGCAGACAAGUUCUAUGGGAUUUGCUGGCAUUGAUUUCCCAGGAUGGCAAAGUGCUAAGAACUAAACCUUUAAAGCUAACAAAAUGUACUGAUGUCUUUGCAAAGUAUCCAAGACCAACAAGAAAGUAAUUUCCCACCUCACCCUACCACCACCCAGAAAAGGAGCACAGAGAUGGGGAAGAGAGUGGCUGCAUCUGGCAUCCAGCCAGAGGAGUCCGUGCAGGGAUUCUGGAUCCCUCUUCCCCCACCCCACUGCCCUUCCCCCUCCACCCCAGCGUUUUGGAGAAGCAAGAAACUGUGAUGAUGCAGCUCCCUCAAGUAUCACAUGAAGAUAGUGGAAAGAGCCUCCUGAGGUAAAUAUGCCAUGUAGACAGAAACAAGCAAUGGCUCAACAGCAAUGUAUGAGGUCCAAGGACCAGGACCAAAGGGAAAAACAGCCAUCUCACCAGACACCUGCCUACGACCAGAUGCGUCAUCUCCAAUAUUAGCUAACUCCCUGGAACCUGGACUCAAGGUGUGAAAUAAAGGUUAAUGGGAAACCGCAGGAGUCAAAAGGAGGGGGCAGGAUUAUUGAGGAUUCAGGCUGUUGAGAAAUGAAAGUUUGGAUCACUCCCCAGAUAAAGAACCUUGACCAUUUAAGGGCAAUGGAAAUACAGAAUAGGCAGUAGAAGAAGGAAGCCAUAGAUACCAACUAUGGCCUCUCAAUCAAUUACAAAACUGAGAAUUCUGACAGUUUUGUGUAUUUCCUCUUUGCAUGUGAUGUAUAUGUGUGUAUUUGUAUAUAUUAACCAUUUUCCUUUUUCUCUCUUCAUUAUUUUAUGAAAGUUGUUGAAUAUAAACUCUACAAUUUAGCCUUUAGGUAAGAGAAUAUUCAGUGGGACUUUGAUUUGAGGAGUAUUUAAGACAGCCAGAUGAGACUACGAUAACUGUUGGAACUGUGUGUCUCCUCAUUUGGGGAAAGGGGUGAGAACUCUGCAUUUCUCUGAAGAACAGAGUUGACUUUGUGUUAUACAGAGUUCAAAUAUAUAUAUAAAAUGGUGCAUGUGGAAGCUAAGAAGCCAAAGGAGUUCACCAAGACAGUUAUCAAUAUAUUGCCUCUCCGCUCCAAAUCCACCCUUCUUUGCCCUGUUCCACGAUACUAAUCUGGCUCCUCGGUCAGCCAGUGCAAUGUCAUCUGUUGCUGGUAGAGUGUAGGGGAGACACUACAAGGUAUAGUAAAGGGGUCAGAUGCGGUGUCUCAUGCCUGUAAUCACAGCCCUUUGGGAGGCAGAGGCAGGAGGAUCACCUGAGGCCAGGAGUUUGAGACCAGCCUGGACAACAUGGUAAAACCCCAUCUCUACUGAAAAUACAAAAUUAGCACGCACCUGUAAUCCCAGCUACUCGGGAGGCUGAGGCAGGAGAAUCACUUGAACCUGGGAGGUGGAGGUUGCAGUGAGCCAAGAUCGCAUCAUUGCACUCCAGCCAGGGAAAAAAGGCAAAACUCUGUCUCAAAAAAAUAAAUAAAUAAAAUAAAAUAAAACAAGGUAUAGCAAAUAAAGGAGCAUUCCUUCUUGAUUCUUCCUGGUUCUUGUUACCUGUGGCCGCCACCAGUGGUGUAUGGGAGAGUCACCCUACAGUGAGUUCCACCAGCACCUAGUGAGGGCUUCCUACUGAGUUUUAUUGUCACCCGAGCAGGCAAUUUCCUUGCCAGCAGUAUGCAGGAG
rnacentral:lncRNA from 1 species